GGAGCAUCUUGGCUGCAGUUUCAGCAAUCACAACGUUUGAAUCCAUCUCUCAUAAUCUGGAUGAGGAUUCAUGGUACCACGGAUAUUUUUUAGACAGGAGCUCAGGUGGAUCGUCUAAUAGCUGAAAUGGCUCCAUAAAUAAACUUCAACUUGAAGGCUCCGUUGGAGUACAUUGCCCAAGUCAGAAUUUUCAAAUUUGUUGUUACAGGAUCUCAAAAUUAUAGUGUGAAGUACAAAAGUAACUUGUAUUUAGAUGCAAAAAAGAAAAUCAACUUAUCUUCCGAAGGAGCCCAAGUUUUGAG
rnacentral:lncRNA from 1 species